rnacentral:rRNA from 1 species
AACGAACGCUGGCGGCAGGCUUAACACAUGCAAGUCGAGCGCCCCGCAAGGGGAGCGGCAGACGGGUGAGUAACACGUGGGAACGUGCCCAAAGGUACGGAACAACUCCGGGAAACUAGAGCUAAUACCGUAUGUGCCCGAGAGGGGAAAGAUUUAUCGCCUUUGGAUCGGCCCGCGUCUGAUUAGCUAGUUGGCGGUGUAAUGGACCACCAAGGCGACGAUCAGUAGCUGGUCUGAGAGGAUGACCAGCCACACUGGGACUGAGACACGGCCCAGACUCCUACGGGAGGCAGCAGUGGGAAAUAUUGGACAAUGGGCGCAAGCCUGAUCCAGCCAUGCCGCGUGAGUGAUGAAGGCCUUAGGGUUGUAAAGCUCUUUCGCCGAGGACGAUAAUGACGGUACUCGGAUAAGAAGCCCCGGCUAACUUCGUGCCAGCCGCCGCGGUAA